GUGCCCGUCCACCGAACGGUCGGCAGGCGAUCCGCGUCGGUCGUGCUGGGUGGUAUGGUUCCCCAGAGGCCGGUUCUUGUGCUGCCUACCCCUUCAGGGGAAGAGUUCCAAACUCGAUGUAAGCCUCCAUCCGGCGCCCUCCAGAGGGCGCGGGAGGACAACGGAGCACCCCCCGCGUUCCACCGAGCCUCCUCGGUCGAUUGGCCCGCGGGGACGUGCGAUGCUCUCGGACCCAGCGAACGCCGUGGGCGAGGACUCACGUCCCGGUCCCAAGUGAAGCAACGGUAUAACGCACGACGGCCGCUCCCGCCCCCCGACCGCCCCGGCGGCGCGGGGGCGAAGGCGCGGCGUCGCUGAGGAAUGCU
rnacentral:misc_RNA from 1 species